GAUGAAGAACGCAGCGAAAUGCGAUACGUAAUGUGAAUUGCAGAAUUCAGUGAAUCAUCGAAUCUUUGAACGCAUAUUGCGCUCUCUGGUAUUCCGGAGAGCAUGCUUGUUUGAGUAUCAGUAAACACCUCAACUUCCAUAUCUUUUUUGAAAUGGGAGUUGGACUUGAGUGAUCCCAACGCUUUUCCUCACCGAAAAGUGGCGGGUUACUUGAAAUGCAGGUGCAGCUGGACUUUUCUCUGAGCUAUAAGCAUAUCUAUUUAGUCUGCCUAAAAAACAGAUUAUUACCUUUGCUGCAGCUAACAUAAAGGAGAUUAGUUCUUGUGCUGAAUGAUGCAGGAUUCACAAAGACAGGCUUCGGCCGACUUUGUAAACUCGAUCUCAAAUCAAGUAAGACUACCCGCUGAACUUAAGCAUAUCAAUAAGCGGAGGA
rnacentral:misc_RNA from 1 species